rnacentral:rRNA from 1 species
AACGAACGCUGGCGGCAGGCCUAACACAUGCAAGUCGAACGCCGUAGCAAUACGGAGUGGCAGACGGGUGAGUAACACGUGGGAACGUACCCUUCGGUUCGGAAUAACUCAGGGAAACUUGAGCCAAUACCGGAUACGUCCGAGAGGAGAAAGAUUUAUCGCCGAGGGAUCGGCCCGCGUCUGAUUAGCUUGUUGGUGAGGUAACGGCUCACCAAGGCGACGAUCAGUAGCUGGUCNGAGAGGAUGAUCAGCCACAUUGGGACUGAGACACGGCCCAAACUCCUACGGGAGGCAGCAGUGGGGAAUAUUGGACAAUGGGCGCAAGCCUGAUCCAGCCAUGCCGCGUGAGUGAUGAAGGCCCUAGGGUUGUAAAGCUCUUUUACCCGGGAAGAUAAUGACUGUACCGGGAGAAUAAGCCCCGGCUAACUUCGUGCCAGCCGCCGCAGU